GCCGCUAUUCUGACCAUUAUAAUAUUGCAACGACAAAUAAUUUAAACUUUGAUGAUACGCUGAACUCCCUCUUUUUCUUUUUAUCUUUGUCCAGAGAAGCAGAGGGACUAUUCUCUUUGUUCUACAGCAUCGAGGAGGACUGGAAUACUUUAAUGUGGGUGUCAGGUGCCUUAAAUCAGAGUUGGAGGCGAGAUCGGACGGCUAUGUGGAGAGCCACUUGGAAGGCUGGAUUUAGCUGGCUGGGUGGGGCGCAUGGAUCAGGAUUCGGACCACUGUGCGAAGGCUGAGGUCCCCCACCUGUCAAUCAUUUGAUCCAUGGCUGACGGCAUUUAUUUAGUUUGGAAGUAA
rnacentral:lncRNA from 1 species